CGUUUUCUCUCUCCACUCGGCGGCACUCGCGCCACCACACUCGGCCGCCGACGACGACGACGACGACGACGACGUUCGACGUUCAUUUGGCUCGCGUGUGCCGUACCGGUCCCGGUACGGCGGCAAUCGUCGUUCUCCGCGUCACACUCUUGGCCGCUGCGGUUCCCGAUCACUGUGUCUGCAGCAGGACUCUCCAGGACUCUCCAGGAUUUCGUCCGUCUGUAGAAACGAAGAUAUCAAAGCAGAGUUCGCGGGGAGUAAGCCUUUCGUCUGGCCUGUCGUCCGUACACCAUAGCGACUGCAGUAGACGGCCAAUAUCAUACAUUUAUACUGCAGUGUAUACCGCCGCGCACGUUUAUCUAAUAAAAUAUCACGUCAGCGAGGAUGCUGGAUGGACCGCGACAACGUGACCGCACAAAACACGACAUUCGCACAUACACCUCGAGACGUGCGUGAAACGUGAAAAUAUCGUUUCGCAUACCGGUCCUUAUCAUUCUUCGCCUUGUGUGCAAUUUAAACAACUGGACGGAGAACUGAUAAGGGCUGGUAUGUCGAUACUGCGCCGUGUAUACUUGCCCGACGACAACGACGACAGAAUUACUAACGCCAUAAUAUUUUGUACAAUAUUUUUUUUAAUUUUGUUGUAAAGUCUUAAAUCUGAUACGUGCGUCCCCCUUGGACUUGCCUUUUUAAAUUAUUCUAAUACAAAAAUAUACUUUACCGUAUUGGCAUUUGGA